UUCUAGAAAAUUAGAGAUUCACGUGGGUAGUCAGCAUAUGAGGAAACAAAAACACAGAGAGUCACAACAUCUACACAACAAUAUGAUGUAGUGGGAGUUCAAAACGUGGGCAGGCAGUUUAGUAUUGGUUUUGGUUUUGUUUUGGGUUCAGGUUUAAUUUUCUAGAUAAACAAAGUAAGCACACACAGAGAAAUGUGUUCCCAAAUUAUUUAAGAGAAAAGUACAAGUAUCGCUAAAAGUAAACUGGAGCAGGUUAAAGAUAGGGUAACGACACCCUCGCCAAUGUUGUGCACGCCAAUGGAUAAGCCCAGGAAUUUCGAUUUCGUCCAGACAUGAGCAGUAAAUGUUAUUUUCUUAUUGUAAUGCUCUGCAUAAAAGGCUGAAACUGUAAAGCAAAAAUGCCGAUCAAUUGAUGCUUACGGAUUCGUGGCGAGAGUUAACCCACUUGGCGGAUGAUGCGACACUUGCUCUGCUAAAAAUGUUAGCUGAUCCCGCCGGCACCAGGGUACAGGACCGUCACGCACCUCCUUUUCAUCUUGGGUUUCACCUGCAGCAUAGAAAACAAAUUAUAAACAACGAAUUGGGUCAGCUUAUUGCUAUGGUGCUACCUGGAAUAUCCCAGUGGCACUGAAAUACUUCGCCCAGUAUGGGAUUGUAAGGCUUUUUGGCCACCGCGCUCUUACGACCCGCAUGAUAAGCGCUCAUAUACCAACGGCAAACCUGCACAAUGCGAUCGCGUGGGUCAUCCAGCUCCGAGAUUCUGGAAAUAAUUUUUCUUUAAGAUAAUUAUUUUCUUUUAUGAAAUAUAGAGCCAACUUACUUGAGAAA